GCUGGGCGUGGUGGCGCACAUCUGUAAUCCUGGUGGCUUGGGAGGCUGAGGCAGGAGGAUCAGGAGUUCAGAGUUCAGCAAAAUCGAGGUGCUAAGCAACUCAGUGAGGCCCUGUCUCUA
rnacentral:sRNA from 1 species